rnacentral:rRNA from 1 species
GACGAACGCUGGCGGCGUGCUUAACACAUGCAAGUCGAACGGGGAAGGGACCGGUUUUUGCUGGUUCUGGAUGAGUGGCGAACGGGUGAGUCACACGUGAGGAACCUGCCCCCUUCUUCUGGAUAACCGCAUGAAAGUGUGGCUAAUACGGGGUAUUCUGCGCCUGCUGCAUGGUGGGGGUGGGUAAGGUAUUGUUUCGGUGGGGGAUGGGCUCGCGGCCUAUCAGCUUGUUGGUGGGGUGGUGGUCUAUCAAGGCGGUGGCGGGUAGCCGGCCUGAGAGGGUUGACGGUCACGCUGGGGCUGAUACACGGCCCAGACUGGUACGGGACGCAGCCGUGACGACUAUUGCACGAAGGGCGCAAGCCUGAUGCAGCGUCGCCGCGUGCGUGAUGGAGGCCUGCGGGUUGUAAACCUCUUUCGCCAGUGAUGCAGGCCUGUCCCUGCUGUGGGUGGGUUGACGGUAGCUGGAUAAGAAGCGCCGGCUAACUACGUG